rnacentral:lncRNA from 1 species
UCGGGAGUAUAAGAAUGAUAAAAACGUACCUAAUUUGAAAAGCUUUGAUACCAAAUGAUACGAACUCACCUCAGUGAUGAUCUGAGUCGUAGAAAUUGCCCGAUCGUCAAAUUGAGUAGUUCUCGUUUUUAAUUCAAUAAAUUGGCUAAGUUAUAAAAAUAGCUAUUUAGGCAGCGGAUAAAACAAAGUAAAUAUAAUGGAUGGAUGGUAUAGUGAACUCAAAACAAGAAUGAACCCAUAACAAAGGUUAAGGACCUGAUUCUUAAAUGUUUUAAGGUGAUUGGCGAAAAGUUGGAUAAAACCAAGACCCG